AACGAACGCUGGCGGCAUGCCUAACACAUGCAAGUCGAACGAGACCUUCGGGUCUAGUGGCGCACGGGUGCGUAACGCGUGGGAACCUGCCUUUAGGUUCGGAAUAACUCAGAGAAAUUUGAGCUAAUACCGGAUAAUGUCUUCGGACCAAAGAUUUAUCGCCUUUAGAUGGGCCCGCGUUGGAUUAGCUAGUUGGUGGGGUAAAGCCUACCAAGGCGACGAUCCAUAGCUGGUCUGAGAGGAUGAUCAGCCACACUGGGACUGAGACACGGCCCAGACUCCUACGGGAGGCAGCAGUGGGGAAUAUUGGGACAAAUGGGCGAAAGCCUGAUCCAGCGAAUGCCGCGUGAGUGAUGAAGGCCUUAGGGUUGUAAAGCUCUUUUACCCAAGAUGAUAAUGACAGUAUACGGGAGAAUUAAAGCUCCGGACUAACUCCGUGCCAGCAGCCGCGGUAAUGUGACUACUG
rnacentral:rRNA from 1 species